UAGGGAAUCUUCCGCAAUGGGCGAAAGCCUGACGGAGCAACGCCGCGUGAGUGAUGAAGGUCUUCGGAUCGUAAAACUCUGUUAUUAGGGAAGAACAAAUGUGUAAGUAACUAUGCACGUCUUGACGGUACCUAAUCAGAAAGCCACGGCUAACUACGUGCCAGCAGCCGCGGUAAUACGUAGGUGGCAAGCGUUAUGCGGAAUUAUUGGGCGUAAAGCGCGCGUAGGCGGUUUUUUAAGUCUGAUGUGAAAGCCCACGGCUCAACCGUGGAGGGUCAUUGGAAACUGGAAAACUUGAGUGCAGAAGAGGAAAGUGGAAUUCCAUGUGUAGCGGUGAAAUGCGCAGAGAUAUGGAGGAACACCAGUGGCGAAGGCGACUUUCUGGUCUGUAACUGACGCUGAUGUGCGAAAGCGUGGGGAUCAAACA
rnacentral:rRNA from 1 species